rnacentral:rRNA from 1 species
UACAGAGGUCUCAAGCGUUGUUCGGAUUCAUUGGGCGUAAAGGGUGCGUAGGCGGCGCGGUAAGUCGGGUGUGAAAUCUCGGGGCUUAACUCCGAAACUGCAUUCGAUACUGCGGUGCUUGAGGACUGGAGAGGAGACUGGAAUUCAUGGUGUAGCAGUGAAAUGCGUAGAGAUCAUGAGGAAGACCAGUGGCGAAGGCGGGUCUCUGGACAGUUCCUGACACUGAGGCACGAAGGCCAGGGGAGCGAACGGG